GAUGAACGCUGGCGGCGUGCCUAAUACAUGCAAGUCGAGCGAACAGACGAGGAGCUUGCUCCUCUGACGUUAGCGGCGGAUGGGUGAGUAACACGUGGAUAACCUACCUAUAAGACUGGGAUAACUUCGGGAAACCGGAGCUAAUACCGGAUAAUAUAUUGAACCGCAUGGUUCAAUAGUGAAAGACGGUUUUGCUGUCACUUAUAGAUCGAUCCGCGCCGCAUUAGCUAGUUGGUAAGGUAACGGCUUACCAAGGCAACGAUGCGUAGCCGACCUGAGAGGGUGAUCGGCCACACUGGAAGUGAGACACGGUCCAGACUCCUACGGGAGGCAGCAGUAGGGAAUCUUCCGCAAUGGGCGAAAGCUUGACGGAGCAACGCCGCGUGAGUGAUGAAGGUCUUCGGAUCGUAAAACUCUGUUAUUAGGGAAGAACAAAUGUGUAAGUAACUAUGCACGUCUUGACGGUACCUAAUCAGAAAGCCACAGCUAACUACGUG
rnacentral:rRNA from 1 species